AACGAACGCUGGCGGCGUGCCUAAUACAUGCAAGUCGAGCGAACAGAAGAGGAGCUUGCUCCUCUGACGUUAGCGGCGGACGGGUGAGUAACACGUGGGCAACCUGCCCUUAAGACUGGGAUAACUCCGGGAAACCGGGGCUAAUACCGGAUAAUUGAAAGAACCUCCUGAUUCUUUUAUGAAAGGCGGCUUCGGCUGUCACUUAAGGAUGGGCCCGCGGCGCAUUAGCUAGUUGGUGAGGUAACGGCUCACCAAGGCAACGAUGCGUAGCCGACCUGAGAGGGUGAUCGGCCACACUGGGACUGAGACACGGCCCAGACUCCUACGGGAGGCAGCAGUAGGGAAUCUUCCACAAUGGGCGCAAGCCUGAUGGAGCAACGCCGCGUGAGUGAUGAAGGCCUUCGGGUUGUAAAACUCUGUCUUCUGUGACGAAAAAGUACGUGAGUGGAAAGCUCACACCCUGACGGUAACAGAGGAGGAAGCCACGGCUAACUACGUGCCAGCAGCCGCGGUAAAAC
rnacentral:rRNA from 1 species